UACGUAGGGUGCGAGCGUUAUCCGGAAUUAUUGGGCGUAAAGAGCUCGUAGGCGGUUUGUCGCGUCUGUCGUGAAAGUCCGGGGCUUAACCCCGGAUCUGCGGUGGGUACGGGCAGACUAGAGUGCAGUAGGGGAGACUGGAAUUCCUGGUGUAGCGGUGGAAUGCGCAGAUAUCAGGAGGAACACCGAUGGCGAAGGCAGGUCUCUGGGCUGUAACUGACGCUGAGGAGCGAAAGCAUGGGGAGCGAACAGG
rnacentral:rRNA from 2 species